CCCACAUCCCCUCAGCAGCUGCUGGUGACGUUCGAGCCUUCGGAGUGAAACUCGAUCAGUUUAUUGCAGAGUUGAUUGACUUGAACACUGGUAUUCCUUUCGGAGUGAACCCUAAUGUCUGCUCGUAAUGUUUGAUUCCAAGCAGUGGCCAGGUCAUGCACAGCAUCAUGAGUAAUGUCCAUCCUUUGCAGAGAAGACUGGAACGACUCUUGUGGGAAUGCUAGGAUAUCGAUGUCCCAACAACUAAGUUCCAACAGGAUGUUCAGGACCUCAAGAGAAGCACAGCCUCGCUGCCAGAAGCCACGACCUUGACCUCUGAGGGAGAGAGCAUCAAGGCCUCAGAGGGACAAUGAGCAAGUUUGACUCCUAUCUUGGCUGAUAGAUGGACAGGAUUACAACUCCGUAUUCCUGGCUAAAAGGUGUUCAGAUGAGAAAGAGAGUGCAAUAAAAGAGGAAGG